GUUCAUUCGAUAUGAAAUCUCAACCUCGGUAUUCUUUUGCUUACAGGACCACUGAUGAAGAUAAACGUCCAAAGCAGCAAAUGGUUAGUAAAGUUACCGUUGUGUGUAGGUGGAUUUUACGCAACACUAUUUUGCAUUAGAUUGUCGUCAACUGGCAGUUAUCAGAGUGAGAAAUAGCGUUAACGUUCAUUCUAAGUGGUAGUCUUGUAACUCAGAUUUUUGUCGGAACUCUUUACUAUAUGUAGAGGCAAAUAAACAGAACCGAGAGAUAAACUUUUCCUUGCUUCUAUGAACGGGAACAGUUCUGAAGUUGACCACCACAUGCUGUAUCGUAAGGUCACUGAAACCUACCAAUAGAAAUACUACCAAUAGAAAUACUACAAAUCCUUCAGGUCUUGCAGUCACGCGAGAAUAUUACGUCACACUAAGAAUCUGCAAUCAUGGUAGGCCCUAUGGACAGCAGUGGAAACCACUGUUUUGAACUAAACUAAAUAUAACCCUUUUAAAUUUUUAACUGGAUUUUCAACGCGAAUUUUUGAGCAACUCUGUUAAUUCUUUGUUUUCUAAUUUUUAGGUCACACUUCCAGUUUACCUUAAUCAAAAUCGUCGUGAGCUUCUCUUCACUGUUGACAUGGAGUUUGCUGAACAGGGGGGUGAAUACCGUUUCUAUGAAAGAGGAGUUGCAUUCUUGGCUUCAUCUAUGACUGGCUAAUCUAUAAUUUUAACUUGAUUUAGACUUAUCUUUACUUAUAGUUAUUAUUCAAAAUUAAUAGUGCAAUUUGACUGGUUAAUAAAUAUAUUUAAUUGUUCUUCUG